CCUACGGGUGGCAGCAGUGAGGAAUAUUGGUCAAUGGGCGAGAGCCUGAACCAGCCAAGUCGCGUGAGGGAGUAAUGCCCUAUGGGUUGUAAACCUCUUUUGUCGGGGAGCAAAAGCCGGACGUGUCCGGCUGUGAGAGUACCCGGAGAAAAAGCAUCGGCUAACUCCGUGCCAGCAGCCGCGGUAAUACGGGGGAAGCGAGCGUUAUCCGGAUUUGUUGGGUUUAAAGGGUGCGCAGGCGGAUUUAUAAGUCAGCGGUCAAAACGUGGGGCUCAACCCCAUCCCGCCGUUGAAACUGGUGAGCUAGAGUGUGCGAGAGGUAUGCGGAAUGCAUGGUGUAGCGGUGAAAUGCAUAGAUAUCACGCAGAACCCCGAUUGCGAAGGCAGCUUACUAACCUGUGACUGACAUUGAUGCUCGAAAGUGUGGGUAUCAAACAGGAUUAGAUACCCGAGUAGUC
rnacentral:rRNA from 1 species